AGUUUGAUCCUGGCUCAGGACGAACGCUGGCGGCGUGCCUAAUACAUGCAAGUCGAACGCUUCUUUUUCCACCGGAGCUUGCUCCACCGGAAAAAGAGGAGUGGCGAACGGGUGAGUAACACGUGGGUAACCUGCCCAUCAGAAGGGGAUAACACUUGGAAACAGGUGCUAAUACCGUAUAACAAUCAAAACCGCAUGGUUUUGAUUUGAAAGGCGCUUUCGGGUGUCGCUGAUGGAUGGACCCGCGGUGCAUUAGCUAGUUGGUGAGGUAACGGCUCACCAAGGCCACGAUGCAUAGCCGACCUGAGAGGGUGAUCGGCCACAUUGGGACUGAGACACGGCCCAAACUCCUACGGGAGGCAGCAGUAGGGAAUCUUCGGCAAUGGACGAAAGUCUGACCGAGCAACGCCGCGUGAGUGAAGAAGGUUUUCGGAUCGUAAAACUCUGUUGUUAGAGAAGAACAAGGAUGAGAGUAACUGUUCAUCCCUUGACGGUAUCUAACCAGAAAGCCACGGCUAACUACGUGCCAGCAGCCGCGGUAAUACGUAGGUGGCAAGCGUUGUCCGGAUUUAUUGGGCGUAAAGCGAGCGCAGGCGGUUUCUUAAGUCUGAUGUGAAAGCCCCCGGCUCAACCGGGGAGGGUCAUUGGAAACUGGGAGACUUGAGUGCAGAAGAGGAGAGUGGAAUUCCAUGUGUAGCGGUGAAAUGCGUAGAUAUAUGGAGGAACACCAGUGGCGAAGGCGGCUCUCUGGUCUGUAACUGACGCUGACGCUCGAAAGCGUGGGGAGCAAACAGGAUUAGAUACCCUGGUAGUCC
rnacentral:rRNA from 1 species